rnacentral:lncRNA from 1 species
CGUCGUCGUCGGCGGCGUCCACAAAUAUUCACUCUGGUUAAAGUUUUUGAAAUUUUAAUAAUUUUCUUAAACUAUACUGAAUUUCUACCAAACUUGGACAGAAGUUUGUUUAUUAUCAUAAGAAAGUAUCCAGAAGUAAAUUUUGUAAAAAUAAAAUUCCAUUUUUUCCGUAUUUUACUUAUAAAUGGACUUAGUUUUUCUGCGAGG